GGGGCUCACACCAACUUCACCUAACAGUGAGGGACACCGACGGCCAGGUUCGCCUGCAUUGCCUGGAUAAAGGAGUGAGAGAGAGCCCUGAGGGGCGAGCUGAGAGCCAUGAGUGUCUGAUGAGAAACCAUCACAACAUUUAAAAUGAGUUUAGGGCAAUCCGGUUAUGACAUUUUUUUUAAUUGAUAAACUGUUCCAGAUGUUUCCUCCCUUGACUGAGAAGUGUCAGAAUUGAUGGAUAACAAGUAUGUAGAGAUGCAGUGUUUUAAGGAGGUAUAAGGAAAGCAGCUUUAUUUGGAAUUCACACUCUCAGUACAUUUGUAAGUAACAGAUUCGUACUUCCUAACGUUUGUCUCUUCUGUGCACUCCUGUUGAGAUGGUCAUGAAUAGGACUGUCAAAUCCAUUUCGUAGAGCAAGUAGACUUGAGGGUUGAGAUAUUGCGAGGAUGGUGUGUGGUUUAAAAUGCCUGUGUAAACAUGUUAUGUAAGGAUGGAGAGCUAAUUGCAUCAUUUGUCACUUUUCAUCAUCUCCACUCAGAAGGAUGUGCACAAGGAUGUAUCUAUAGCUAGCUGCCUAAGUAUCAGCCUUGUGUUACAGGGGAAAUAUGGCGAAAGCCAAGCAGCCAAAUUAUGUGACUGCAGCCAGCCCAGAGUAUGCAAAGCUGUGACAGAAACGUCCCCUCUGUAGUUAUGGAUGUCCUACACUUUAAUCUUACGGUUUCCGACCAUUGGCUGGUAGCUUCUGUUAUGAUAAUGUCUGGGUUGAUAUUGCCAGGCAGUUUCUUGGCUUACUACUGAACAUAAAGCUUAUCAAUCGCCAAUAUUGUUAGAUUUUCAUGGACAUGCAAAAUUCCAUGCUGGGAGCUUUACCUGGAGUGCAUGUGGUAAAGUAUCCACUGGAAAAUUAACAGCUGAGAGUUUGACAGGAUGAACAGAGAAUUAAUUGUUGCUUUAUUUCUUAAGACUGUGCGUUUACUGCUGGAGUCAUUCUCAUGUCAGGAUCCAAGUUCUGUGGAUCUGUGGUGUUCUGUGGUGGGCAGAUCUUUACAGCUGUGUUUUUAUUUCUUGAAGCAGAAGAAUCUUUUCCCAUGUUUCAUUUACGUUCUUUAAACUCACGAUUCCCUUCUGAAAGACUUGCGCAGAUGCUUCCUUCUGUACUGAAGCCCUAAGCUAUUGUAAACCUGUGAGGCCCCAGUGUACCACGCUGAAACCCUAACCUACGCGGCUAGCGAAGUAAACCCUGCAGCCUAUGUUGUUUCCUUCAGGUGAGAAGCAUCAGAAGUGAGUCGGUUAUGAAUGUUUUGCGGUGCUUUUCCUUCAAGCCAAAGAUGGGGGUUUUACGUGGAACUGUAAGUCCGUGAAAGAGAGCGGAAAGGGGAGAGAGACUCCCUCUUCUGGGUUAAGCACUCAGAUUCAGCCUGAGCACCACGAUUUCUCGCAUCGCUCCGUCGGCCAGUAACCAGAUAACUGUUAAAAUUUUU
rnacentral:lncRNA from 1 species